rnacentral:rRNA from 1 species
UACGUAGGGGGCAAGCGUUGUCCGGAUUUAUUGGGCGUAAAGAGCGUGUAGGCGGCCAGACAGGUCCGUUGUGAAAACUCGAGGCUCAACCUCGAGAUGUCGAUGGAAACCGUCUGGCUAGAGUCCGGAAGAGGAGUGUGGAAUUCCUGGUGUAGCGGUGAAAUGCGCAGGAUAUCAAGGAAGAACACCCGUGGCGAAGGCGG